rnacentral:tRNA from 1 species
AUCUUUCUAGUAUCAAAACAGUACUUGUGACUUCCAAUCACUCAGUCUUGGUUCAAGUCCAAGGAAAGAUA